AUUCGCAAGGCACAGAGCCAACAGCUCCAGCAGUGGGGGCCACCAUCAACGGACCAAGGUGGGCCAGGGGGCCUUCCGGACCCCACAAUUUGGGGCCGGUCUGCAGCAACGAGGGCAGCAUCGGGAAUGCGAGCCUCCUCGCCCGGCCGGGUAAACAUAAGCCCAGAGCCCGGCGGGGCCUGCGCCGCCUGCGGCCCGGCUGGGGCCCAGCGGACAAAGGGGAGCAGGCGGUGCCCCGUCCCAGCGGCCAGGCCGGCCGAGAGAGCCAGGAGCCACGUGCCCGGUGGGAGCACGCCAAAAGCAGGAGAACACCUGACCGUUUUUUUGGCCCACCAAGGAGACCGCCUUCUACUCUGCAUUUAAAAAGAAAAACAACGCGUUACCGCUUUAAGUUUUUUAGAACUUUUCCAGAGAAAGGCCGACUAGCAACAAGGGGUGCUACAGGAAUCCACCUCGCCUCACCUCUCCUAGGAAAUUGUAAAAGGAAUUAGCACUUGAAUGGGGAGGCCGGCGUGUCUGGAAUGAGAACGAGCCGCGCACGCAGUUUGAGGGUUCCGGGGAGCCGCGUCCUCCCCUUUCCAGGCGACAGCCCUAACUACAGGAAUUGGCCAAAAUUCAGCAUUUCCAGACUUUCCUUGGGAAAAGGGGCCGAAGAAGUGCCGGCAACAAGAAGGGCCACAACGGAGCGCGCCACAGACUCACCGCGGCUGGGGUCGGGACCGGCGCAGCCCCCUCCCCUCCCGCCCGUGCGCGCCCCGAGCCGGGCGCCCCGACCCGGCCUCCACCCGCUCAGGCGCUCAGGGUCAGGCCGGGCCGGGCUGCGGCGCCCCCAUCCCCGCCCGGGCAGCGAGGCCGGGCCAAGCGGGGCGCUCCGGGCCUCGGGCCUACACGCGGCGGCCGCCUCGGCCCCGGCCCCAGCCCGCGGGCCCCGGGCGGGGGAUGCGAGGACGCUGGGACGCGGGCCCGAGGCGCGGGAGGGGCCCAGGCCGCGCGGGGCGCCCCGACGACUCGCGGGGGCCGAGGAGGCCGGGGCUGCGCGUCCAACGCGGGGCCGAGAAAACGGCCGGCUCGGCCCCGCCGCCGCCGCUCCUCGAGCCCCCAAGCGCGGCCCCGGCUCGCCCGCCCCCGGCCCCCGCCGCCCCGACCCCGCGGCCCCCCGAUCCCCGGCCCCUGCCGCCCGCGCCGGGCCCGCCAACCACGGGCAGGAGCGCGCGAACGGCCGGGCGGGCGCCCCGAGCGCCAGGACUCACCGGGGCCGGCUCCCGAGUACAUGGUGGCGCCGCCGAGGGGCUCCGGGGCCGAGGGGCGGCCGCGCGCGCGCCACGGGCCCCGACGCCGCGAGCCGCGAGGGAGCCGCCGGCCGCACGAUCCGCCCCGGCGCGGCCGCCUCGCCAAACAGGUUUACCCGACGCGGCCGGGGCGGCGGGCGGAGGCGGCGGCGGGAGCGGGAGCGGGAGGGGCGGGGGAGGAAGGAGGAGGGAGGGGGAGGGGAGGCGAGGCCGGCGGCGGGAGCGCGCUCGCGGGGGGAGCGGGGCUGGGCGCGCGGGCGGGGUCCGCGGCGGCGGCGGCGGCGGCGCCGGGUCUGGCGGGGCCUGGGGCGGGGACCCGGGGAGGGGCCCGGAGACCUCGCCGGGCGGUGGGAACCGCGGGCGGGAGCGGGGACGAGGGCCGAGGGCGGCGCGGCCCGUGUGGCGCGGGGGCGGGCGCGGCCCCGGGGACCCUUCACUGCCACCCAGAGAAGCCGCGUCUUCCCGACGGGGAGGAGCCGGGCCCCCCGGCUGUGCCGCCGGAGCCGGAGGGGAGGCCACGCGCCCCCGCUUUCCCCGCCGCCCCCCGGUGGGGGGCGCAGAACCCUCCCACCCUCAGCCCCUCGGCCCCCAGCCUGGCUCUUUAAGUUACUACAGAAACACGGAGGUCGGGAAGCUCCCUCCCAGCCCGGAGCUUGAACUUGAACGCGGCCGGCCGCUCGCGCAGGACCACACCGCCACCUCCCGGCGCGGCCCCAGAACCCAGAUAAUCCGUUUAAAGCACUGAGAAAAUCUAAGAAGUUUUUAGUAAACUGUAGCUGGUAUCAGGGAUCAGAUCAGCGGACACGCCCAUUCCAGCAGUCAGGGGCCUGCUCGGACCGUCGUGCACCUCCGAGCGUUUCUGUCCGGUCCCUCUGGGUCCGUCUGGUUUUCGGAGGCUUUCCUGGAAAAGCCAGCCUGUGGCUACCUCCUUUCUCCCCUAAGUGAUGGAGGAUUAGAAGGCAGAGGUUGACCCACAAUCUAAAGUGCCUGGUCGCCUUUUCCCAGAUUUCCCGGAGCAUUCCUUCACCCCGUGGCAUCGGCUGUCUGCAUAUGGGUGCAAGGCCCUGUUCCGGGCGGAGAAUAAACAGGAGUUCUGACUGACAGGAGCUCCGCAGCCAGCAGGGUGGUCACUAGUUCUCUGCAGUCUCGGAGGACAGCCCUGAAGAAGGGCAGGAGAACCAGCACUUCCUCCGAAAACUCAAAAGGACAUCAGUCUUCACCAAGUUGCCGAUACAAAACGUGCUCCUGAAAUGUGUAGUAAUGAACACCAGGAAACCUGGGUAGGAGUGUGCAUGGCAUUCUUCAUCACCGCUUGGACUGCAUGGCACUGAAUACCCACGGAGAGCAGGAUGGAGAAACAGUGUGCUCAUAUUCACAGGAUGGAAUCUAGCCAUUCACAAAAAUUCCAAAACAGGCAAAAUUAAACUGCAUUCUUUAGGGAAGCAUCAUUAAGUAGUAAAUAAUUGACAGAAGGGCAAGAAGGUGCUUACUCUAAGUGUCAGAAUGGUGGAUACAGCUGGGGGUGAGAGGGCUGUGACCACAGCAGGGCCCCUGGGGGAUUUGGGGGUGCCAGGCCUGUUCCUUCCUGCAAUGGUGCCCUUUGGCAGCCAUCCCUUAAACUGCACUUUUACUUUAUAUGCUUUUCUGUACCUUUACUGUAGUAUUUCACGGAAAUUUUUAAAUAAUCAUGAAUGUUACCACUUUCCUAUUUAUGAACCAUGCAACCUCAUCAAUCUUCCCAGUUCGCAGAUGCCCACCCUCUCUCUCUGCCCCUGUCUCCUUCACAUAUCCCCAAAACUCGUUUUGGCCCGAAAUCCCUGAGGCCCAACUGCCCUGCUGUCAGCGACUGCACGCCUCAGCAAAGGCCCAGAAGGCUCUGUCAUCACUGGCUGCCCUCAGCCCGCCUUCAGCUCCUUUGAGCGCUGUGUUGGGGAACUUUGUUGCAAGGAUUUCGUUCCAGAAGGCAAGAUAAUGUCUCUGAGGGCUUCAUUGUGUCACUUCUCUUUGGAUGGCGGACACCGUGGCCCUCUGCUGGCGGAGGGGUGCCAUUGCUGCCUGCCCCAUCUCUAUCCCCAGGGCCCAUGCAGUCACUGGGUUCGCCCUCUGGGGCACGGGGUUCCCUCUGCUCUUUUCCUAGAUAAGCCCAUUCUCUGCAGGUCUCUACCCUCCACACCUGUGUUCAGGAAUUCAGCCCGCUUCCUGCAGCCCCAUCCCUACCCUCCUCCCAACCUGCUUUUCUUCUGGUGUCCCUCACUCAGCAUGGCUAACAGAUCCACCACCCAACGGAGCUGAGAACUGCAGUCCCCUCUGCCUGUUACCUCUCCUGCCAUUAGUGAACCUGCUUAACUCAUCUGACUGUGCGUCUCGGUGCUUGCUGUGACAUGUCUCCAGCCCUUGCUGCUCUGUCCCCCAGACCCACGUCCCACACCCGGAUGGUGACUCAGCCGACUCUGGGUCUUCUGGACCCAGUGCUUCUCCCUGAUACAAUUCCUUCCUCUGUGUUUUAGGAUCCUGAUGCUUUGAUAAGACCGUGGGCUCUAAUCACAGCCAGGGACAUUUGCAGCAGCCUGGCCUGCAGCUCUGCACACUGGGUGCACUCAGUCUAAAGCACCAGCUCCCCAUGAGAGAGAAAGAAGGGGUGAGGGGAAGUACAGAGAAAGCUCCUGAGGCCACAGGGCUGACAAAGCCCUCGGCUUUGGGGGCACUUUGUUUCUUCAAGACUAAAAUGCAGGCAAUGGAAUAAAUCAUUUGUUCCUAAAA